rnacentral:rRNA from 1 species
ACCGUACUCCUACGGGAGGCAGCAGUGGGGAAUUUUGGACAAUGGGGGCAACCCUGAUCCAGCAAUGCCGCGUGAGUGAAGAAGGCCUUCGGGAUGUAAAGCUCUUUUGUCAUGGAAGAAACGGUAGUAGCUAAUAUCUAUUACUAAUGACGGUACCUGAAGAAUAAGCACCGGCUAACUACGUGCCAGCAGCGGCGGUAAUACGUAGGGUGCAAGCGUUAAUCGGAAUUACUGGGCGUAAAGCGUGCGCAGGCGGUUGUGUAAGUCAGAUGUGAAAUCCCCAGGCUCAACCUGGGAAUUGCAUUUGAGACUGCACGGCUAGAGUGUGUCAGAGGGGAGUAGAAUUCUACAUGUAGCAGUGAAAUGCGUAGAUAUGUGGAGGAAUACCGAUGGCGAAGGCAGCCCCCUGGGAUAACACUGACGCUCAUGCACGAAAGCGUGGGGAGCAAUCAGGAUUAGAUACCCGGGUAGUCCUUGAC